rnacentral:rRNA from 1 species
CCGGUUUAAGCGUGUAGGCUGGUUUUCCAGGCAAAUCCGGAAAAUCAAGGCUGAGGCGUGAUGACGAGGCACCACGGUGCUGAAGCAACAAAUGCCCUGCUUCCAGGAAAAGCCUCUAAGCAUCAGGUAACAUCAAAUCGUACCCCAAACCGACACAGGUGGUCAGGUAGAGAAUACCAAGGCGCUUGAGAGAACUCGGGUGAAGGAACUAGGCAAAAUGGUGCCGUAACUUCGGGAGAAGGCACGCUGAUAUGUAGGUGAAGCGACUUGCUCGUGGAGCUGAAAUCAGUCGAAGAUACCAGCUGGCUGCAACUGUUUAUUAAAAACACAGCACUGUGCAAACACGAAAGUGGACGUAUACGGUGUGACGCCUGCCCGGUGCCGGAAGGUUAAUUGAUGGGGUCAGCGCAAGCGAAGCUCUUGAUCGAAGCCCCGGUAAACGGCGGCCGUAACGAUAACGGUCCUAAGGUAGCGAAAUUCCUUGUCGGGUAAGUUCCGACCUGCACGAAUGGCGUAAUAAUGGCCAGGCUGUCUCCACCCGAGACUCAGUGAAAUUGAACUCGCUGUGAAGAUGCAGUGUACCCGCGGCAAGACGGAAAGACCCCGUGAACCUUUACUAUAGCUUGACACUGAACAUUGAGCCUUGAUGUGUAGGAUAGGUGGGAGGCUUUGAAGUGUGGACGCCAGUCUGCAUGGAGCCGACCUUGAAAUACCACCCUUUAAUGUUUGAUGUUCUAACGUGGACCCGUGAUCCGGGUUGCGGACAGUGUCUGGUGGGUAGUUUGACUGGGGCGGUCUCCUCCUAAAGAGUAACGGAGGAGCACGAAGGUUGGCUAAUCCUGGUCGGACAUCAGGAGGUUAGUGCAAUGGCAUAAGCCAGCUUGACUGCGAGCGUGACGGCGCGAGCAGGUGCGAAAGCAGGUCAUAGUGAUCCGGUGGUUCUGAAUGGAAGGGCCAUCGCUCAACGGAUAAAAGGUACUCCGGGGAUAACAGGCUGAUACCGCCCAAGAGUUCAUAUCGACGGCGGUGUUUGGCACCUCGAUGUCGGCUCAUCACAUCCUGGAGCUGAAGUAGGUCCCAAGGGUAUGGCUGUUCGCCAUUUAAAGUGGUACGCGAGCUGGGUUUAGAACGUCGUGAGACAGUUCGGUCCCUAUCUGCCGUGGGCGCUGGAGAACUGAGGGGGGCUGCUCCUAGUACGAGAGGACCGGAGUGGACGCAUCACUGGUGUUCGGGUUGUCAUGCCAAUGGCACUGCCCGGUAGCUAAAUGCGGAAGAGAUAAGUGCUGAAAGCAUCUAAGCACGAAACUUGCCCCGAGAUGAGUUCUCCCUGACUCCUUGAGAGUCCUGAAGGAACGUUGAAGACGACGACGUUGAUAGGCCGGGUGUGUAAGCGCAGCGAUGCGUUGAGCUAACCGGUACUAAUGAACCGUGAGGCUUAACCC